rnacentral:rRNA from 1 species
GAGUUUGAUCUUGGCUCAGAUUGAACGCUGGCGGCAUGCCUUACACAUGCAAGUCGAGCGGCAGCGCGGGGGCAACCCUGGCGGCGAGCGGCGAACGGGUGAGUAAUACAUCGGAACGUGUCCAGUAGCGGGGGAUAACCUCUCGAAAGAGAGGCUAAUACCGCAUACGACCUACGGGUGAAAGCGGGGGACCGCAAGGCCUCGCACUAUUGGAGCGGCCGAUGUCGGAUUAGCUAGUUGGCGGGGUAAAAGCCCACCAAGGCGACGAUCCGUAGCUGGUCUGAGAGGACGAUCAGCCACACUGGAACUGAGACACGGUCCAGACUCCUACGGGAGGCAGCAGUGGGGAAUUUUGGACAAUGGGGGCAACCCUGAUCCAGCCAUGCCGCGUAAGUGAAGAAGGCCUUCGGUUGUAAGA